rnacentral:rRNA from 1 species
ACUUUACAAUGCGGGAAACCGUGAUAAGGGGACACCGGGUGCUAGCAUCAUAUGCUGGCUGUCCAGGUGUGUAAAAUACACCUGUUAGCAAGGGCCGGGCAAGACCGGUGCCAGCCGCCGCGGUAACACCGGCGGCCCGAGUGGUGAUCGUGAUUAUUGGGUCUAAAGGGUCCGUAGCCGGUUUGGUCAGUCCUCCGGGAAAUCUGAUAGCUCAACUAUUAGGCUUUCGGGGGUUACUGCCAGACUUGGAACCGGGAGAGGUAAGAGGUACUGCAGGGGUAGGAGUGAAAUCCAGGAAUCACUGUGGGACGACCAGUGGCGAAGGCGUCCUACCAGAAAGGGUUCGACGGUGAGGAACGAAAGAC